rnacentral:rRNA from 1 species
CUACGGGUCGCAGCAGUGGGGAAUAUUGGACAAUGGGGGAAACCCUGAUCCAGCAAUGCCGCGUGUGUGAAGAAGGCCUGCGGGUUGUAAAGCACUUUCGGUUGGGAGGACUGCUUCUAGCACUAAUAUUGUUGGAAGUUGACGUUACCUUCAGAAGAAGCACCGGCUAACUCCGUGCCAGCAGCCGCGGUAAUACGGAGGGUGCAAGCGUAUAACGGAAUUACUGGGCGUAAAGCGCGCGUAGGCGGCUAGAUCAGUCGGGUGUGAAAGCCCCGGGCUUAACCUGGGAACUGCAUCCGAUACUGUCGAGCUUGAGUACAGGAGAGGAGAGUGGAAUUCCACAUGUAGCGGUGAAAUGCGUAGAUAUGUGGAGGAACACCAAUGGCGAAGGCAGCUCUCUGGCCUGAUACUGACGCUGAGGUGCGAAAGCGUGGGGAGCAAACAGGAUUAGAUACCCCCGUAGUC